UACGUAGGGGGCAAGCGUUGUCCGGAAUCAUUGGGCGUAAAGAGCGUGUAGGCGGCUCGGUAAGUCCGCUGUGAAAGUCCAGGGCUCAACCCUGGAAUGCCGGUGGAAACUGUCGAGCUAGAGUCCGGAAGAGGCGAGUGGAAUUCCGAGUGUAGAGGUGAAAUUCGUAGAUAUUCGGAGGAACACCAGUGGCGAAGGCGGAGCUCACUGGUCCAUUACGUGGACGCUGAGGUGCGAAAGCGUGGGGAGCAAACAGGGAUUAAGAA
rnacentral:rRNA from 1 species